UACAGAGGUCUCAAGCGUUGUUCGGAUUCAUUGGGCGUAAAGGGUGCGUAGGCGGCGCGGUAAGUCGGGUGUGAAAUCUCGGAGCUUUAACUCCGAAACUGCAUUCGAUACUGCGGUGCUUGAGGACUGGAGAGGAGACUGGAAUUCAUGGUGUAGCAGUGAAAUGCGUAGAGAUCAUGAGGAAGACCAGUGGCGAAGGCGGGUCUCUGGACAGUUCCUGACACUGAGGCACGAAGGCCAGGGGAGCAAACGGG
rnacentral:rRNA from 1 species